rnacentral:rRNA from 1 species
CCUACGGGAGGCAGCAGUGGGGAAUAUUGCACAAUGGGCGCAAGCCUGAUGCAGCGACGCCGCGUGAGGGAUGAAGGCCUUCGGGUUGUAAACCUCUUUCAGUAGGGAAGAAGCGAAAGUGACGGUACCUGCAGAAGAAGCGCCGGCUAACUACGUGCCAGCAGCCGCGGUAAUACGUAGGGCGCAAGCGUUAUCCGGAAUUAUUGGGCGUAAAGAGCUCGUAGGCGGUUUGUCGCGUCUGCCGUGAAAGUCCGGGGCUUAACUCCGGAUCUGCGGUGGGUACGGGCAGACUUGAGUGAUGUAGGGGAGACUGGAAUUCCUGGUGUAGCGGUGAAAUGCGCAGAUAUCAGGAGGAACACCGAUGGCGAAGGCAGGUCUCUGGGCAUUAACUGACGCUGAGGAGCGAAAGCAUGGGGAGCGAACAGGAUUAGAUACCCUGGUAGUCCAUGCCGUAAACGUUGGGCACUAGGUGUGGGGGACAUUCCACGUUUUCCGCGCCGUAGCUAACGCAUUAAGUGCCCCGCCUGG